GCUUCGAGACCUGGGCAGUCACUUUCCUCUCCAGACAUCAUCAUUACUGUGGUGUCUGUUCAGUCAGUUCCAGCUGGUGAGAUAGGUAGAACAUGUCUCAGAUGAGGAGAUACAACGUGUCUCAGGUGAGGAGACAGAACAUGCCACAGGUGAGGAGAGAGAACAUAUCACAAGUGAGAAGAUAGAACACUUCUCCUGUACUUCCUGUUAGGUACAUAUUAUCUUUAGGAGUUUAUUGAAGGAAUGGCUAUUGCAAUAUAAAUUCAUUGAGAAGCAUUAUUAAGUUAAUGCAUUUUUUUGUUUCUUUGAUCUAUGAUUGAGUACUAAAAUUCAGUAGGGUACCACAUGGGCUCUGCCUACAUGGGCUAGGUACGGGUUUCCAUGAAGUCUCAAAUCCCUCCCAGGUACAGUAGUACUGGACUAUAGAUGAGUCUAGUGCCUUCAUUACCCACACUCUGCCUUUCUGAAUCUUUCUUUGUCGUAUGUGUCCUUCUCUGUGAGUACUUGGGUUCAUGACUAAAGGAGUGUAACAAAGAAAUAGGUUGCCAUUGAAAAACCCACUCUUCUACUUGUUGUGUUUGACCGUCAUAUCCCUAAGCAUAACUGGUUAGACAUGACACUCUCUUUCCCUCUUCUGUUCUAUCUGUCCUGUGAAACACUGGACCCCUCCCUUUUCUCUGAGGCCAGGAGCGGCUGUGGCCUCAUUUUCCUCCUUAGUGCACUGCUGGUAUAGUCCCCUUACCACCUGUCUUGUCACUUGGCCUGCUUAGUUCCUGAGGCUCCUGUCACCACUCUUCUCUGGAUGGAAACCCCACAUAUCGCCAGUGGAAAGACAACUCUUGUCUGGAAUUAGCAGUGGGCCUCAGCCACUGCUGGCAUUUUUAGUGUAGCCCCUCAGUGCUUGUCUUCUUGCUUUCUCUGUGCUCUUGGCAGUAGGAAGUUCCAAGCUAUCCCACUCUGAUCAAGGCUGAUGAGUGUGUGAGAAAGAUCCUAGGGGCUUCACACCAUGGUCUCGUCACUCUUACUACAGCGUGACAGCACAUUUUCUCCCUGGGAUCCAGCCAUCCAACACCAGGUGUGUCCAGAUGCUGUGCCAAGCCACAGACAAGUGGGGAUUUGCCCCUGAGAGAUCUCCCAUCCUUGAGGUAAUGCUGACUAUGGUAAUGGUGACAGUGGUGCUGCAUGGUACUGGCUGAGAAGGGCACAGGUUCUGUAUUUAAUAACUGCAUCUUGCUCUGCUGUGGGAUGAGGAGAAAGGAGGCUCCUUGGAAGACGAGAUCUAAGGCCUAAUUUAAACAGUAAGAUAAUGU